rnacentral:lncRNA from 1 species
UAAAAUGGGGGUGAGAACUAACUUCCUUAGUUCCCAGUGGGUUCGGCCGCCGACUCCGCCGAUCUCCCCACUAGGUCCAAGCGGGCAAAAGUAGAUAAUCGAUAGAUAGAUAGAUAAGGAAAGCGGUAAUGACAGAAGUAAAGCUACUCUACUAUGCCCAAUCAUAAAUAUAUGAAUGCAUGUACAAUGGAAUAGGUAAGCAAUUAACCCAUUAUCAUGUCCAAAGGUAAAGCUAUUUACUCGUUCAUCAAUCCCAUUUACUUGUUUCUUAAUCUCGUGGCUUCCCUGAAGGAGCCUACUGCUCACUAGCCAUCUCGAAGGUAGGGAGGGUCAACUCGCACUACGAACCGAGACCGUCUGCCGGGGCCUAAAAUAGGCAAUCCCUUGGGACCCAAAAUAGGCAAUCCCACGUGACCAACUCCGGAGCGCACUACUUGUGUGAGGCUUCCAUCACAAGAUUUAAAAACAGACCGUGAGCAUGAUCCAAUCCUCGUCUCGAGAAUACCCUAUCCUCUAGGGUUACCAUCAUCAUAUAGUCCAUAGGUUUCACAUACACUAUGACUCAUAUGUGUCAUUUGUUCUCUUAUACACUAUUAACUAGAUUGCCACUCGUCCAUUGUUUACUAUCGACUAGAUGCCACUCGUUCUUUGUUUAACACUAGACCAACCGUUGAGCCUAUCUCUUUCUUUGCACUAUAGGAUUCACAAUCUCGACCCAAUCCUUAUCGAUCCACUAUAUCAAGUAUCCAAUACAUGCUACGAUAUCAUCAAGGAAAGCAUAAGGAAAGGCAAUGCACAAUCAUCCUAUAAUGCAAUAAUACAAGAUGCAAGAAUCGACAUGUACUAAGACAUAGAAGGGAGCCCGAUUGCUUCGGGAUGGACACCACCCACCUCUUGGCGAUGCCGCGAUGAUAGAAGACUCGGCGUUGUGGUUCUUGCACGUCGCCCUAACUCCUCGGGGCGAAGCGAGCCCUCGAGUACCCGAUUCGGCGAUAACUCCGCACUCGCUCGUCGGAUCGGCAAACCGUCUUCGCCGACGCGUUCCGGGACCUAACAAUUAGGUUUGCGACCUAAUAGAUUAGAUCAAAACCCUAGAUUUCGAAAAUCCCCAAUUCCGUGCACUAGAAUGGCAAUGGGGAAGAAAUCCGUGGUGCGAGCUUCGAUUGCGAGCCCGAACCACCUAUUCAUCUCCUCUAGGUUCCAUUUGAACCAAUUCUAAGCAAUAAAACCCAAUCCUAAGAAAUCUACCAUGAGUGGGUUUGGAGCUUACCUCUAAGCCAAGCUCCAAGCUUGCCCUAGCUUGAAGGAGAGAGGGAAGAAGAUGAUCUUCUCCUUCUUCUUGAUCUUCUCCUUCUCUUUUCUCUUCUUUUCAUUCUUCUUCUUCUUCUUCUUCUUCUUCUUCUUUCUUCUUCUCUUUCUUUUCUUUCUAAAGAGAGAGAGGGAAAGAGUGAGAGAGUUAGAGAGCAAUGAGGGAAAGAGAGGGGUCCCCCACCUCUAUUAAAGGCCAUUUUGCAGAUAGCCCCCUCAACUUUUCAUCCUUCAAACCAGCCCUCUUUGGGCAUUUUCGCAGUGAGGGACCGGUCCCAGCUCGGGGAUACCGGUCCCCGAAGGCUACCAUCUCGGGCAGAGGGAUUUUCGCGUUCGGGAACCGGUCCUUGCCUGAGAGACUGGUUCCUGGGAGACCGUUCCUUGUCCGAGAGACCAGUUCCCGAAAGUUGGAUUCUCGAGACUUAGCCAAAUUUUUGGCCAUUCUCGCCGGGCUGACGUUCGGGAACUGGUCCCUGCCUGCAAGGGACCGGUCUCAUCAGAGACCCCCGCAGCCCAGCCCAAUGGAACCGGUCCCUCCCUGCCAGGGACCGGUCCCCGGGAGCAAUUCUUCUCCAGUGCAGAUUUUGCACUGGUGCUCCAGCGGACCCUUCCUUAAUGCACUUUAUGCAUUAUAAUCACCCUCGGACUUUCUAAAGCUUACGCACUCGACAACUAGUCGAUUCUAAUCGAAGUCUAAUCCUCGAGUUUCGAGAAUUCACUUCCUCACAUCCUUCCCACCUUAAAAGAGUUUCGUCCUCGAAACGAACUCAAUACUACAAUACUUAAUUAGAAUUCCAAAUUCUAAACUCAUACCUCGAUUUAACCUUCGAACAGGCGAGGAUGAUUCGCCUUCAUCUCCUCCUCGAGCUCCCAGGUGGCUUCGCGAUCAUCAUGAUUGCUCCACCGGACUCGGACAUAAGGAAUUUCCCGAUUCCUUAACUUGCGCACUUCACGAGCGGUAAUUGCCACCGGAAACUCCUCGUAGCUCAGGUCCUCCUGAAGUUCCGGCGGUUCGUAUAACAUCGCGUGCUCGGGGUCAGGAAUGUAUUUGUGUAGAUUGGAGACGUGGAAUACAUUGUGCACAUCCGCUAGCUUCGGCGGCAACGCGAGCCGAUAAGCCACCGUCCCAAUCCGCUCCAAGAUCUCAUAGGGGCCAAUAUAUCGGGGGCUCAAUUUUCCCCGAACUCCAAAUCGCCUUACACCCCUCAUAGGCGAGACCUUCAAGAAGACACGGUCGCUCACCGCAAACUCUAGAUCUCGUCGGCGCCUAUCCGCAUAGCUCUGUUGUCGAGACUGCGUCGUGAGUAAUCGUUUGCGAGCAAGGCGGACCUUUUCUUCCGCCUCCCGCAGCACAUCAGGGCCAGAUUCCGUGCGCUCGCCCACGUUACUCCAAUAAAUGGGAGAGCAGCACUUCCGCCCAUAAAGAGCUUCGAACGGUGCCAUCUCCACACUAGCGUGAUAACUGUUGUUGUAGACGAACUCGGCCAUUGGCAAAUACUUACACCAACCUCCUUUGUAGUCGAUGACACACGCUCGCAACAUAUCCUCCAGCGUCUGAAUGGUUCUUUCAGUUUGUCCGUCUGUCUAGGGAUGAAAUGCAGUACUGAAGUCAAGCCGCGUGCCAAGGGCCUCCUGUAGGCUUUCCAGAAAUGUGAAGUGAACUUGGGGUCUCUAUCCGACACAAUCGAUUUCGGCACCCCGUGUAACCUCACUACUUCAUCAAGAUAUACCUGCGCCAACUUAUCUCCCGCCCAGGUGGUGUGGAUCGGUAAAAAGUGCGCUGACUUUGUCAAGCGGUCCACAAUCACCCAGAUCGCGUCGUGUUUCCCUAUCGAGCGAGGUAAGCCAACGAUAAAAUCCAUAGAUAUAUCCUCCCAUUUCCAGACGGGAAUAGGUAGGCUUUGAAGCUUCCCCGCUGGAAACCGGCGCUCCGCCUUUACUUGCUGACAAGUCAAGCACUUUGCCACGAAGCGCCCAAUAUCGGCCUUCAUCCCUGGCCACCAAUAGAGUGCUCUCAACUCAUGAUACAUCUAGGUGCCGCCCGGGUGAUCCGCGUAUGGAGACCGGUGGGCUUCCUGCAAAAUCAGCUCGUGAAGCUCUUCAUUCUCGGGCACGCACCACCGGUUUCGAAACCGAAGCGCGCCACCGACGUCCACACUAAAAUCGCCAUUUCGUCCUUCCUCGACGUUGCGCCACACCUCUUGGAGACUCGGAUCUGCAGGUUGCAAGUUUCUGAUCCUCUCCAAUAAGGUCGGUUGAAUAACGAGCGCCAUCAGCUAAGCCGGGAUCUCGGGAGCAACCACUUCGAGGUCCAGUCGCUCCAUCUCCAGCCCUAGGGGUGUUUGCCGAGUAACAUCAAAAGCGAGGUUCUUCGCCGACUUUUUGCUAAGUGCGUCUGCAACCACAUUUGCUUUGCCGGGGUGGUAGAGAAUAUCGACAUCAUAGUCCUUUAAUAGCUCUAGCCACCGCCUCUGUCGCAUGUUCAGCUCCUUCUGGGUAAACAGAUACUUCAGACUUUUGUGGUCGGUGUAGAUCUCGCAGUGUGCACCGUACAGGUAGUGCCUCCACAACUUCAACACGAAGAUCACCGCCGCCAACUCCAAGUCAUGGAUGGGGUAAUUCUUCUCGUGGUCCUUCAGCUGACGGGAUGCAUAAGCUAUCACCCUCCCGUCUUGCAUCAGAACACACCCCAAGCCCAGAUAGGAUGCAUCGCUAUAGACCACAAAGUCCUCGCCCUGCACCGGUAAGGCGAGUAUUGGAGCCGACGUCAAUCUUUUCUUCAACUCGUUGAAGCUUUGAUCACACUCGUCGCUCCAAAUAAACUUGACGCCCUUCUGAGUUAAACUGGUAAGUGGAGUUACAAUCUUCGAAAAACCUUCCACAAACCGUCGAUAAUAGCCCGCUAAGCCCACAAAGCUUCGGACCUCCGUGACGUUCGUCGGGCGUGGCCAAUUCUCGACCGCUUCGACUUUCCUCGGGUCAACCGAAACACCGCCCUCGGAAAUCACAUGCCCCAAAAAGGCAACCUCUCGAAGCCAGAAAUCACACUUCUUCAGCUUUGCGAAUAGCUUCUCCUCCCGAAGGAUUUGAAGCACCGUCCGCAAAUGCUCCGCGUGCUCCUCGUCGUCCCGCGAAUAGACCAAGAUGUCGUCUAUGAAGACCACGACAAAUCGGUCCAAGCACGUCUUGAACACACGGUUCAUCAGAUCCAUGAAUGCGGCCGGGGCAUUAGUGAGCCCGAAAGGCAUAACCGUGUACUCAUAGUGUCCAUAACGCGUGCGAAACGCGGUUUUCUGAAUAUCCUCCGACUUAAUCUUUAACUGAUGGUAGCCGGAUUGUAGGUCUAUCUUCGAGUACACUCGUGACCCCUGUAACUGAUCAAAUAAGUCAUCGAUUCGGGGCAACGGGUACUUAUUCUUUAUCAUGACCCUAUUCAACUCUUGAUAGUCCACGCAGAGUCGAAAUGAGCCAUCCUUCUUGCGCACGAACAACACCGGGGCUCCCCACGGUGAUACGCUCGGCCUGAUGAACCCUUUGUCGAGAAGAUCUUGUAACUGAUCCCUCAGUUCUCUUAACUCUGCCGGCGCCAUGCGGUAUGGGGCCUUCGAGAUUGGCACCGUCCCGGGAAUCAAGUCUAUAACGAACUCGAUCUCCCGAUCCGGCGGCAUCCCCGGUAACCCCGUGGGAAAUACAUUUGGAAAUUCCCGCACCACCGAUAAAUCCUCUAAACUCGGAGCCACUCGGUCCACUUCCAUGACAGUCGCCAAAAAUGCUACGCAGCCGCCGUUGACCAACUUUCUAGCUCUCGUCGCCGAUAUCGUCGCGACGAAGCAAGAGCUUCGACAAGCUCGAUAAAUGAACUCCUCCUGUCCUGGCUCCCGAAUGGUGAUCAAUUUAUUCUUACAAUCAAUCGUGGCGUAAUACUUUGAGAGCCAAUCCAUGCCCAAAAUGACGUCAUACGCCUCCAGUUUCUUAAGUUCCAACAUCCGGAUGGGCAUUAUCCAGUCGCCUACUUGUACUGGGCAUGACGAGCACUCCGUAUAGGUAUUAAAUGAUGACUCGGGACCUUCGACUCGCCACUUGCCACUUGCUUCUAUGGGUAUGUCAUGCAUGCGUGCAAAUGCCCUACUAAUAAAUGAAUGCGUGGCACCCGUAUCGAACAUAGCUCUGGAGCGAACUCCAUUAAUUAGAACCAUACCUGCCACAACAUCAGGCUCCUCGGCUUGGGCAGGCUCUUCGGUAUGGGCCUGAGCGGCGAAUACCCGUCCGCUCGGCGCUGAUCGAGUCACCUCCGGCUGGCACGGCGCCAGUGCGCGUCCCGCCGAUACGGGAACAUACGAGGCCCCUCCUUGAUAAGGCGAGGGCGCUGGAGUCGAUGCAACCGACGAAGUAGACGAGGCCCUUGCCGGACAGUCACGACUGACGUGUCCCUCUUGUCCACAAUUAAAGCACCGUCCUUGUCGUUGUCUACACUGCGGUGCCCGAUGGCCUCGAUCUCCACAGAUAGGGCACCGCUGCGGCCCACGGCCCCACGACUGCGACUGCGGAUACUUCGGGGGCCUCCUCGAACUCGAUUGUCCCCCCGAACCGCCGCCCGAUCGCUUCUUCCCCUUGUCUUGGGAUCCGGCCAACAACUCACGCUCCUCUCGCACAUGGGCAUCUCUAUGCUCUGCCCAUAACGCCUUAUUGAAAACCUCGGCGAAAGUCGUGAGCUGGAACAAUUGCACCGCUCUAUAUAUCCACGGCCGAAGUCCUCGCAAGAACCACUCAGCUCGAUCCGCGUCGUCCUUAACCACGUCCGGGACGCAGUCUAUAAUGUGGGAGAACUCUUGUUCGUAAUCCGCCACCGAACGAUCCCCCUGCCUCAAUUUGCGAAACCUCUCCUUUAGCUUUCGCUUCUCGGUGUCGGGGAAGUAAUUCCCAAACAUCUCCUUCUUAAACUCCUCCCAGAGCAUUGGUGGAAGGUCAGAGGGUCGAUCCCGCUUCAACCGCUUCCACCACACCUUGGCCGCCUUGUCGAGGCAAUGGGUGGCGAAAGGCACCUUAUCUUUCUCCGGGGUGUACAGGUCCUCGAAGAGAGUCUCCAUCGAGUCAACCCAAGACUCCACCACUGACGGCUCCACUUUCCCCCCUUCAAAAGUUGGUGGUUUAAACUUCAUGAACUUCAUCAGAGCCGUCAGCGCACACUCCCGCUCCACUUCGUCGACCGUCGUCUCGAGUGUCGCCGAACCCGAAGCUGUCGGAGGCGCAUUUGUCGGCGGGGGAACCGCUGCCAUCGGAACCGCCGCUAUGCCCUCACCCUCGGCCGCUACCGGCGUGCGUGCCGAAGGUGCGGGCGGAUCGCGAUCUCCUGCCGCCGUCGCGGCCGCCACCGCUGCCGCUUGCCGCUCCACAACUUCCUGGAGCUGCUCGAACCGAGCCUCCUGGCGCUGCAUCGCGCCCAACAUUGCAGCGACCUGCUCCCGCAGCUCCUGCACCUCCUCCGAUCUUGGCUGCUCGGGCUCCGCAGAAGGCGGCACCGGAGCAGACCUACGCGCAUAACGCCUUGGGGACAUUUGCUCCUGAAAAGCAACAACUCGGUUAGUUAUCUCAAUCCGAUAACCUUGCAACGUUCGCGAAUUUAAACGACUCAAUAGUAAAAUCAGGCGGAAGCUCGCAAGUGCUCUAGUGUCGGACUCUUAGCGUUGCGUCGUCGGCCGCCGACACAACCACUACGAGCCAAGAACUAGUGUCACUUGGAUCCGUCUCUAUUCACAGCUAGAGACACAACAUCAACCUGACCCAAUCACUCAACUCCCGCCACCGCCAUGGGUUCACGUUCACUCACGUCCCUAUAACCUUAGGGUUUACCAACUUAGGGUCUCCUAGGUUAUCCUAGACUCUCUCUUUACUUGCUCUGGUGCUCUGAUACCACUUUAUCUGUCACGCCCCGCGACCGCUACCAAUUUGGUCCGGCCCCGGGCGCGUCGAACAGACGCCGAACGGACAGGACCUCCCCUGUCCGUCCAAGGCUAACCAACAGAUCAUGUAUAAGAAUUUACCUAGGAAUCAAUUCAUAAAUACACGAUCAAGAAGCACCACCAGUGCAACAAUCAAUAGCAAGAUACAAGUAUAGAAACAUAUACAAGUACAUAAGAGAGAAGAGGCUAUCCAUUACAUUCAUUUGAUUUACUACAUUUAAGUACGUCUUUUACAUUCUUCCAAAAAUAUAAGUACAAGCACUCAAACCUCUCCGUAUACAACAUCUACUCUCAAAUACAAAAAGGGUGACAGCUAAUGCAAAAGGGAGGUAGCUAAUGCGACUAGAGCGCCUUGCCCUUACCACGAUCCUCACGCUCACCGGGGACGCCCGAACUAGAACCUGUAAAGAGUGGGGUGAGAACUAACUUCCUUAGUUCCCAGUGGGUUCGGCCGCCGACUCCGCCGAUCUCCCCACUAGGUCCAAGCGGGCACAAGUAGAUAAUCGAUAGAUAGAUAGAUAAGGAAAGCGGUAAAUGACAGAAGUAAAGCUACGCUACUAUGCCCAAUCAUAAAUAUAUGAAUGCAUGUACAAUGAAAUAGAUAAACAACUAACCCAUUAUCAUGCCCAAAGGUAAAGCUAUUUACUCGUUCAUCAAUCUCAUUUACUUGUUUUUUAAUCUCGUGGCUUCCC